GACGAACGCUGGCGGCGUGCCUAAUACAUGCAAGUAGAACGCACAGUUUAUACCGUAGCUUGCUACACCAUAAACUGUGAGUUGCGAACGGGUGAGUAACGCGUAGGUAACCUGCCUGGUAGCGGGGGAUAACUAUUGGAAACGAUAGCUAAUACCGCAUAAUAUUGAUUAUUGCAUGAUAAUUGAUUGAAAGAUGCUAUUGCAUCACUACCAGAUGGACCUGCGUUGUAUUAGCUAGUAGGGGAGGUAACGGCUCACCUAGGCGACGAUACAUAGCCGACCGUGGGGGGUGGUCGGCCAAAAUGGGACCGGGACACGGCCCAGGCCUCUAAGGGAGGGAGCAGGAGGGAAACUUCGGCAAGGGAGGAAAGGCUGACCGAGGAACGCCGCGGGAGGGAAGAAGGGUGUCGGAUCGGAAAGAUCUGUUGUAAGAGAAGAACGGGUGUGAGAGUGGAAAGUUCACACUGUGACGGUACCUUACCAGAAAGGGACGGCUAACUACGUG
rnacentral:rRNA from 1 species